rnacentral:tRNA from 1 species
GCCUCGGUAGUGUAGUGGAUCAGCACGGCAGACCGGAUAUCUGUAAGUGCGAGUACGAGUCCCGCCUGAAGUC